rnacentral:rRNA from 1 species
UACGGAGGGGGCUAGCGUUGUUCGGAAUUACUGGGCGUAAAGCGUACGUAGGCGGCUUUGUAAGUUAGAGGUGAAAGCCCGGGGCUCAACCCCGGAAUUGCCUUUAAGACUGCAUCGCUUGAACGUCGGAGAGGUGAGUGGAAUUCCGAGUGUAGAGGUGAAAUUCGUAGAUAUUCGGAAGAACACCAGUGGCGAAGGCGGCUCACUGGACGACUGUUGACGCUGAGGUACGAAAGCGUGGGGGAGCAAACAGG